rnacentral:snRNA from 1 species
UCGCCCUUCGGGGCGUAUGAAAUGAAAAUAUACAGAGAAGAUUAGCAUGGCCCCUACACUAAGGAUGACACGCUUAAUCAAAGAGAAGCAACAAUUUUUU